ACUCCUGCGGGAGGCAGCAGUGGGGAAUUUUGGACAAUGGGCGAAAGCCUGAUCCAGCCAUGCCGCGUGCAGGAUGAAGGCCUUCGGGUUGUAAACUGCUUUUGUACGGAACGAAACGGCCUUUUCUAAUAAAGAGGGCUAAUGACGGUACCGUAAGAAUAAGCACCGGCUAACUACGUGCCAGCAGCCGCGGUAAUACGUAGGGUGCAAGCGUUAAUCGGAAUUACUGGGCGUAAAGCGUGCGCAGGCGGUUAUGUAAGACAGUAGUGAAAUCCCCGGGCUCAACCUGGGAACUGCAUCUGUGACUGCAUAGCUAGAGUACGGUAGAGGGGGAUGGAAUUCCGCGUGUAGCAGUGAAAUGCGUAGAUAUGCGGAGGAACACCGAUGGCGAAGGCAAUCCCCUGGACCUGUACUGACGCUCAUGCACGAAAGCGUGGGGAGCAAACAGGAUUAGAAACCCCGGUAGUCCC
rnacentral:rRNA from 1 species